UACAGAGGUCCCAAGCGUUGUUCGGAUUCAUUGGGCGUAAAGGGUGCGUAGGCGGCGCGGUAAGUCGGGUGUGAAAUUUCGGAGCUUAACUCCGAAACUGCAUUCGAUACUGCGGUGCUCGAGGACUGGAGAGGAGACUGGAAUUCAUGGUGUAGCAGUGAAAUGCGUAGAGAUCAUGAGGAAGACCAGUGGCGAAGGCGGGUCUCUGGACAGUUCCUGACACUGAGGCACGAAGGCCAGGGGAGCAAACGGG
rnacentral:rRNA from 1 species